GCGCGGGGCGCCCCCGCCCGCCGGCGCAGCCUCGCGGGACAACGGCGGCCGAGCUGCCUCCCCCCGCCUCCUCGCGGCUGCCCGAGCGCGACCGUUGGCGCCAGGGGAGCGGCCCCGGGGGAUCCCGCCCGCCCUGGGGCGCGGGGCGGCCCCGCGGAGGCGGGAGGGGCGCACGGGACGGCUCGGCCCGCGCCGCUUCGUGCUGCCGGGGCGGCGGGAGCCCUCGGCGGGACCGGGGCCGCCCCCGCCGCCGGCAGCGGGUGUUGAUGGGGCUGCGCAGAGCUCGUCUGCUCGGGGCGGCGUGGGAUGGCUGCCGGGCCACGGGCCUGCUCAGAGAUGGUGAUCCGAGGCCGCUUGAAUUGAGCGGCCGUAGUUCAGUCCUGAGAUAAAAACAGCCUUAAAUCCUAAGCAUAAUCAAGAGUUCAGUUCUGGGGAAAACCGACUGUUUCCAGGCUGCAAGCGUGACUGUGAACACAGUCUCAGUGGCAUCAAUACAGGCCCCAUGAAGUGCUGCUGGAUCAGCCGAGAAGAUCAGGGUUUGACAAAAUUGCUCCAUGAAGGGUUGAGCCCAGCCUGCUCCUGCGGAACAGGAGGUGCUCUGGCUGCCAGCCUGGCCUCUGAGGAAAGGCAGCUCGUUCUGCGGCCAUGCCUGCUCUGUAGGGCACCGGCUGGAGGGAGCGGUUGUGGAUGAGUGAGGAAGAGUUGCCCUCUUGAUAGGGGACAACGUGAGGAAGGCCGGGUGUGAGCAGCAGCAAGACUCCCUUCAUGAGCAGGAGCUGCCUGCAAACAGUGCAAAUGUGUUGAGCUGUCACCACCUACUUUGACUGACGGCUGGUAUUUCCAGUUGGAGGUGUGCUGCCAAGGCGCUGCUAGGUUUUCAGGAAGCUCUGAACAUCUCCAUGUGCAUUGUGUUCUCCAGCUUCAUUGGAGCAGAGAAGAUGCUGUCUUUUUUUUUUUUUUGUCUCCCCCCCCUUUUUAGCUUCAGAAAUACUGGGUGGGAUAGGUUUUGUUCUCUUUUUAAAAAUGUACUCAUGUUAUACAAAGCAAAUGUAAUUUACGUAUGUAUAUUACUUUGGAUAAUUAUAGCAGACCAUUCUGUGCAGUGCAUUACUCCACUUUCCAAACCGCGUUCAUCACAGUGCUUGAUGUUUUCCUCUCAUUGUGUAUUAAGCCUUUUGACUUGACUACUUACUUUCACCUAGACUCCGGAGAAGAUCUGUGACACUUGCAUGGUGUUACUGAAAGUUAUGAUUUCACUAACUGGGAAUGGAGGACAUUCCAGGAUAUGCUUUUAGGAGGGAGUCAGUGGAAUGAAUGAACUGAUCUGCAAAAUAUAGACCAUAUCCUUAUGCGAGCUUAAAAGGCUUUUUGAGCUUUGUAGUCAAAGGGACUUGAUUUAUCUGGAAACUUGGCAUGUUCUAGUAUGACUAGCAAGCUCAGUAGAGGAGUUCCUCAAGUAACUUUUUACUUUCAGUAUCAUAAUAAAAUUAUCUGGUAAUCCCACUUGUUCUCCUGUUAAGAACUUCAUACAGCUAUCGGAUGGUGCACAUAAGAGGCGAUGUAUUCCUGGAUUCAAACUGCAUGAGUACCGCUGAGCUCCAGAACUGCAAAUCCCGCCAGGAAUAUUCUAGCUCUCAUCAAAGUUUCUGUGUAGUGUAUGUCAUCAAACCUUGUAACGGUAGAAAGGGGCCUUUCCUUAGCAAAAGAGCAAUUUAUUGCUCAUCAAAAAAAAGUUGUACGUGGAAAUCAUGGGUUCUCCUGUAGCUCUGCUGAAUGCUUGUUUUCAGUUACCAGAUGGGAGACCAGACAUUGAAACAAGUAGAACAAGAGUACAACAAUUUUUGUUCACAGGUAAUAACUUGGACAUAUCCACGGAAAGGGCUGAAGAUACGCUGUGCAUUUAAGUAUCCAGCCUAAAACUCAGUUCUGUCUUUCAGUCCCCUAGUUAUGUAUUCAGCAGUAAUUACUGCAGGAGAGGUACUCCACAAGGAAAUUAAUUAAGUACUUUAAAUUAUCUUGGUUGUAGUGUGGGUACACCUGGAAGCUCAUCUUUGUCAGAGUUUUAGUACACUUUUUAAGUAGGAAAAAAUAAGCUGGAUAGGAAUAACUCAUAUGAUCCAUGACAGGGUUACCGAGAAAAACAGAAUUAGCUAUUGGAAAUAGUUUCAGGUAACCAUUUGUUCUGAGAUUAUGGACUCUGAUAGUAGAAGCAGCCUUUCACAGCUAAGGUUUUCAUAGAUAUUUACUGGUUUGUUUAUAUAUCCCCUCUUCCUCUCUCUUCUGAGAGUUUAAUUGGAUUAAUAAACCCUAAUGUUUAUGUGUUAUCUAACCUCUGAGCAUCUUGGAGCAUGCAGCUUCUUUUUUAUGAACCUCAACAUUUCUUCAUGCAACUAGACAAACAGUAGUUCUGGAUCUUUGAAUUUAAAGUGACUUUAGCAAAGGCAGUUUGCUCUGGAUCUGAGUAUCUGAACUAAAUCAGAAAAGGACUUGGCAGCAGAUCCAAGCACAGCAGUUACUGGAAUAUGUCAUCAUUGUGUUUGGUCUGAGAUACUAGAAGCACUCAGGAAAGACUCCCGAGAAACAAACCAACUCCACCAGAUCUUAAGUUCUCAGAUAAUUUAGUUUUGAAUACACCAGAAGAGUUCCAGGCCUGUGCCAGAACAAACGGUUUCAAGAGGAGUUAGACCUAUUCAUCAUUGUUUUUCUGUUUUCUGCUACCUGUUUUUUUCUUUGGCAUUUAUCUCUGUCUCAGGUAUUGUUUGUAUGUAGUAUAAUGUACUGCACUUGUCAGUGGAGCGCAUAAUAAUAAUAACAAUAACAACAACGUAAUUUGACAUGUUUUGCCCAUUAUUUUCUCUCAGAAUAUGACCAUGCUAAAAUAGUCCAACAAAGAAUACAGAUUCCUUCCUUUCGUAUGUUAUCUGAAGAACAUUUAAUAAUGAAAAUACCUCUUGAAAGAGGCACAUUAAUAGCUUUUUUAAAAACAUAACUGCAAAAAGAGAGUAAUUUUGAAGUGAAUUUGAAGCUGCUUUUUAUUUCCUUGGUGAAAUUCAGGAUGAACAGAUCUACAGGUGGUACAGCCACAUCAGGUUGUGGAAGUUUCUUGACCUGACUUUGUUUCAAAUACGGAAAAUGACUGAAACAGCCCGGAAAGCCACCAGAGGCCUCUGCCCGGGUGCAGGUGGGAUCCUCCUGCUCUGCCUUGGGAUGGCUCCUCUGUCUGGGAAACAAACCUCCAGCACGCUCCCUUCCUUCUGGGCUGUUGGUGUUCGCCGUUUUAGAGCCAGAGCUCUAUCCUGUGCCACCACAGACCAGCGCCAGCUGCUCUCCUGGACCUGAUGGGAGAUGCUCUUCCACCUGUACAGAUUCCUCAGGACUGGAAGCCCCACAGCAGCAGGCCCAGGGUUCCAUCAGAAGGCAGAGCUGCCCUCAUGAUCAUCUGUGUCUGUCUCCAGGGAGUUUAUUCUCUGUUUCAAAGGCUGAACACUUCCGUGAGCUGUGAGGCUCUUCCCUAGGAUGGGGAUGUGGGGGAAAACAUAUGCUGCUUGUACCAAUACGUUUCCUUUCUCAGGCUUAGGUGGCACAGGAUGGCAGUUUGUCUUCUGCUUUGCUUAAGGUGAGCACUGGGACCUACACUGAGAUAGGAGCCACACUGGUAGCCAGCUCUCAUGCCUGUGCCAGUCACAUUGAGAUACUUCUAGCAAGUUUGGGCUUUUAUUUUUCUUUUUUAUUUCUUUUUUUUUUUCCUUUUUUUUUUUUCCCCCCUGAUAGUAUCCUCAUUUACCAUUAGUUGCUCCCUCACUGUAUCUUCCUGGUGUCUUAGUUUCUUGUGGUCCAACCAGAUGUCUUGUUGAACCCUCAUGGUGCUUUCACGGAAACUGCUGCCACAACUUCCAUUGCUGUGUAGGGAAAUGAUACAGCUGCAGGUAGGAUGGUGUCUGUGUAGCUUUUCCUAGAACUGCUGCUGCAUCACAAGGAUCCGCUGCACCAACAAUGUGGCUGGUGUUGCUGGUUUUCUAUUUAAUGAGGCUCUCUGAAUUCAAGUGUGCUUUUUUUUAACUUGUCUUCCCUCCUAUGGUUUUACGAAGUUGCUUCCUGCCAAAUACAGAAUCAAGGAAUAAAAAAAACCCUCUCUUCCCAAAACCAAGCACCAAUGCCCUGCAGACCAUUUGGAAAACUAAUUUAUCUACAGGAUCCUCCCCCUUACCCCCCUCUCCGCUUUUCUUUUUUAAUUAAAAAUACUGUUUCCUGCAGAACAUAGCUCUAGCUUUCUCUCCUCAGGCACACAUCCUCAGAGCUGUAACCAGCUGCUCUGCCAGAUCCUUUAAAAAACCAAAGUACUCUAUUCAGCGAAGUAAACAGUGCUUUAGAAGGACUGUAGGCAGGUAGAGAAAUGCCACAUAUUGGGACUGGAAAGAGUGCAUUAGCGUCAGGUAAUUAGGAUAUACUUUCCCAGCACAGUAAUACUCAUUUAUCACGAUUUCAAGGCAGAGGAACUGUGACUGUGAACUUUAUCCCAUGCGUUAAUAUAUUAUUCCCCAUGAACUCAUCAAACCUUACUUCUUGGAGAAUGAAAGUUUGAGAGUAUGAGACACUGGACUCCUUUCAAGAAAAGCUUUGAACAAACCUGAUCAAAAGUUCAAUGUUUAAAUGGCAAUAGGAAGUUCUAAGAGUAGCUAAAAUUUUUAUGCAAAAGACAGUUACUGCUCCUGUAACUGGAAACACGUUUUAUCUUUAGAAGUGGAUUUUGGUGCAUCUUCACUUCCUGAAACGAGGAACGUCUUCCAAUACCAUAUUGAGUGCCAGGACAGUGUAAACAGCACUACAAGGUGGUGUGUAGCUGACAAAACCAGAAUGUUGGCCUUAAUCUCUCAUUAAGAAUAAGCUAGAAACCAGGGCAAGUCUUCAUGCUGGAAAAGUAAAGGGAUUUGCAGGAGUGCCUGUGUUGUGGCAGCAUGUGUGAGUUCCUCAGUCAAAAGUGGGGGUGUUACCUGUCAUCUGUGCUGUUCACCUGCAGUUUCUCAAUGAGAUCUGACACAGCUUCUGUAUGGCUGGUGAUUUUUGUGCUCUACAGAACAUCGUAAUGUUCUUUAAGCUAAUAAAUAGAAAAAGAUUGUUGACUUAAAGGAACCUCAGAGAAAACUCAAAGCCUCAACUGCUGAGUUUACAUGGAACAGCAGGUUAGGAAGAAAAAAAGGAUGAGAGAAAAUGGAAAGAACUGCAUUUUGGCCAAGGAAUAGCAAGCUUCUCAAAGAAACUGCUGGGAAAAGAUUUGGAUCCUGGAGAGGAGAACUGACCACAUGGGAGUUGCUGACAGUGAUCAAGGAACAGAUGGUGGAGUCUGAGGUUCAUCACUCUUCCCUAGUGAAGGGCCAGCUUAAAGUGUGGUUUGAGGACUCCAAAAAAGCGACUCAACUCCUCGGUCUGUGAAAGUGGAAUUCAGAGGCAACAGCAUAGUGAUCAUAUGGAUAGAUGAAAUGGAGAGAAGGAAGUCUGGAAAUGAAACUCCAAAAAGAGUGACUAGAAAUUACCUCUGGAGAUAAUACAGGGAAAAUUUGGUUAAGGAGUAAACCGAUGGGCAGAAAACAGCUAAUGGCCAAGUUCCUCGUUCAACCUGAGACAACUUCCUUAAGAAUAUCAAUGAGCGCUCCUGAAGCUGAGGAAACCUCAGCAACCCCAGUGCCUGCUGCCAUGCACAGAACUGCAACACAAUGUGACUUUUCCUUCACAAUGAACUUGCCAUCUCCAGUUUAUUCCAUGACUUGGCUCCAGCUGUUACUGCGCUUCGGAGUUAUAUGCUGGGUUCCAGAAUUAAUCCAAGAGUGAUGCUGCUGUAUCAGAGCAGUUCAGAUGCUGGCCAAUGUGGAUGUUAUUCUGUUCAUCCUGCAACAGGCAGGAUGAACGUCCUCCCUUGCAAUGUAAUUCACUUAGAGGUUAUUGGCAAAAAUAUUUUUUGGGUAUUACCCAAUUUAAUUAAAGGUCAUCUUCCUUAUCUAUCAGAAGUGGUUAGUGCCCAACUAUAAGCGGUUAAACCCUGUUUUGGGUUUCUCUGCCAGUCACUAUUAAUGAUAUGGUUGCUAGCACAGGACCGUGUGCAUUCUCCAUUGCCCGUUUUCCAGAAUCAGAUGCUUAUUCAGAGUGUAAGAAAUAACUCUAUUUUCCAUGCUCUUUGAAAUUCUAAUGAUGCAGCAAUUCCUUUCUGCCUUAGUCUCUCUUUCACUAGAUUAUCUAAAAUGCUGCUGUUUCAAUUUUAUAUUCACUUACUCCCAACCCAAUAAACUUACCUGUUUCCCUGAUGCUGCACAUACAUUCUCCACUGCCUGCAUGUCCUACGGAGGUCACUUCUGUUGUUUUUCUCCACAUUGACCUUCGCUCCUAGCUGUCCUGUCUAGAGUACCUUGACUCCUUAAAUUCCCACAGUUCAGGAAAAUAUGGGGAUGUGCAGGCAGAAAAUUGUGUUAACUUUCCCUGAUAAACAGCUUUAGAAUUUCUUUAUUAACGCCCCUUUCUGCAUCAGCUAAUAGAAGUUACAUUCACAUCUGAGAUUAAACAAUGUAAGAUGUUCUUAGAACAUAUUUUUUGUUCUCCGUUUUAAUAGUUGCUACAUAUUGGUUAAACUACCAAGACUCUAAAUAUGUAGGAAAAUAUGUCAUACAUCUUAUUUCAUCACUGUUCAAGGCAAAGCCCUGCAGUCCCCGGUUCUUUAUAUCUUAAAUGACAAAAGCUUAUUACUAGUCACUAAAAUGCAGUGUGCCAAGAACUACAUUAUUUAGCAUAUUGCAUAUGACUUUGUGACUAUAGUGAAUAAAGGUGAUGUUUUCAAAAGCUACUUCACUGAUCACAGACAAAGAAUUUAAAAUUAGCCCCCAAGCCCCCUGCAAUGCUAUCACACUUAUUUCAGAAGAUUCAACCAACACGUAAAAUGGUCUGCAGCAGAUUUGGAUGCUCUUCAGCUCUCCUGCAGGUUAAACUUCAAUAAAGCGAGUAAUUAGAUGCAUUUAACAUCUGCUGCAAAGCCACCAACAUGACUUUUUGAAGCUUUGUACCAAGACUCAUAAUUCUAUUACUGGUCUGUUUCCAAGUUACCUGAAGUGGGAGGGAAAGCAAAAAUGCCUUUUACAAGUGAAAUGUGUUUUCUAAGUGUUUUCAGUGAAAACACUGCUCCUUCGCACCUCUUUUGAAUCAGUGCAAUGUUGCCCCUGCUCAAAGGCUGUUGUUGUUGCUAGUAUGAUGGAUCUGUUUCCUAGAUGUAAAUACACGUAAGUGCAAGUAGCUACAACUACCAGUGUACCUCUAGAUACCUGAAUGAUGAUACUCACAGUUUUUGCUUAAAGCAGUUAAGAUACUGACAUGCUAUAUGGCUAAAAAAAGUCUAUUUGUUUCUUAUACACCCAGCUUCCUUAUUUUCAGCAUCAGAGCAACACAAAAUCAGGAUCAAGGCCAUUUGCUUGCCUUUGGCUGAUUAUUGAACAUACGUUUAACGACCAGGCAAAAACCCGCCCUCUUCCACAGCAAAAUGAACACACUAUUUCAAUUUCCUCAAUAUCAAGCAACACAGACCAACAAGACGUUCAAGUGUAGAUACAAUUAAGAGCUUUAAUCAGAGCACAGACAGUAGAGAAUACAAUAUUUUUAUUUUUUUCCUCAAAAGAGAAAAAAAUACUUCAUAAGUAUUUUACAAAUUGUAAAUUUUCCUUCGAAAAAUAAUAUACAAAUGCUUUUUGCUGAAAAACAUAAUACAUUUCUAUGUUACAACUGUUGCCUUAUUUUAGAAUUAUGUAUUCCCUGAAAUGUUCUCCUAACAAAACAGGAGAGUAUAAUAAAUCCAAAAGUAUAACAAAUAUAUUGCUAACUAGGGUGGUAAAUCUAAAGGAAAUUAUUUAAAAGAUCCAGUCCCUUUAUCUGUCAGAGUGCUAAACCAAACGGAUUACUCACACAAACUAAAUUAACAUGAAAAAAUGUUUUGAGCAUCAGAACUCAAAGCAAGAUUGAACAAUGCAGUCAGUCAAAUCUCCGUGUUCUGAAAAAUAUGGUACCGUCAUGCUUUGCUUCCAACCUAGAAAGCAAAUCAGCUACUUUGGAGCUUGGCAUUUUAGGUUGAUUAAUUCUCAUCUUCAGAAUUAAUGGUAAGAGAGAAAACAAUCCUUGUAGACAAAAAUAAGAGAUGAAGCUACUAGUUAUUGAGAUUUAUCCAGAAAAGGACAGUGCUCAGAAUACAGUUUGUAUUUUGCCCCAGACAGGUAUCAUAUAGAAGUCUUUAUGUAUUUUCUGGUACCCUACUACUGGCUUUCGGUUGUCACCGUCAUUCACUCUACUUGCCACAUUCCACCUCUUGCUGAAGUAGAUUUGUCUCAGCCAUUUAACAAAUGAUUCUUCUCCAGAGCCCAGAAGACUUGCUGAAAAAAACCCACAAAGCACUCCAGUAACUGUGUUGAGCAAUCUAGGGAAGAUCUGAGGAGAACUUUGACUUGUGGACAGUUGGAAUUAUGACUAAAACAAUGAGCAACUUUGAAUGAGGAAUAGAGAGUGGUGCAAUAGAAAAAGUACUAAUAAAGCUUUAAUGAAAAAACAAAA